UGAGGAAUAUUGGGCAAUGCCCGCAAGGGUGACCCAGCAACGCCGCGUGGAGGAUGAAUGUCGUAAGAUUGUAAACUCCUGUUAGAGGGGAAGAAUAGUACCGGUUGGACCGGUAUAUGACUGUACCCUCAGAGAAAGCCCCGGCUAACUACGUGCCAGCGGCCGCGGUAAUGCGUAGGGGGCAAGCGUUGUCCGGAUUUACUGGGCGUAAAGGGCGCGCAGGCGGGAUAAAAAGUCAGUGGUGAAAUCCUACAGCUUAACUGUAGAACUGCCUUUGAUACUUUUAUUCUUGAGUUCGGGAGAGAGAGACGGAAUUCCAGGUGUAGUGGUGAAAUACGUAGAUAUCUGGAAGAACACCAGUUGCGAAGGCGGUCUCUUGGUCCGACACUGACGCUGAGGCGCGAAAGCGUGGGGAGCAAACA
rnacentral:rRNA from 1 species